CCUACGGGAGGCAGCAGUGGGGAAUCUUGCGCAAUGGGCGAAAGCCUGACGCAGCCAUGCCGCGUGAAUGAUGAAGGUCUUAGGAUUGUAAAAUUCUUUCACCGAGGACGAUAAUGACGGUACUCGGAGAAGAAGCCCCGGCUAACUUCGUGCCAGCAGCCGCGGUAAUACGAAGGGGGCUAGCGUUGCUCGGAAUUACUGGGCGUAAAGGGAGCGUAGGCGGAUAGUUUAGUCAGAGGUGAAAGCCCAGGGCUCAACCUUGGAAUUGCCUUUGAUACUGGCUAUCUUGAGUACGGAAGAGGUAUGUGGAACUCCGAGUGUAGAGGUGAAAUUCGUAGAUAUUCGGAAGAACACCAGUGGCGAAGGCGACAUACUGGUCCGUUACUGACGCUGAGGCUCGAAAGCGUGGGGAGCAAACAGGAUUAGAUACCCUGGUAGUCCACGCUGUAAACGAUGAGUGCUAGUUGUCGGCAUGCAUGCAUGUCGGUGACGCAGCUAACGCAUUAAGCACUCCGCCUGGGGAGUACGGUCGCAGAUUAAAACUCAAAGGAAUUGACGGCUGAGACGNGCGAGACGACGACGAGGGAGGAGG
rnacentral:rRNA from 1 species